rnacentral:lncRNA from 1 species
CUCUGUCCUCUAGGGCCUUAGUCCUCUAUCCCAUUGCCCACUGUGCAGGAAUGGCGUAGCCAUCUAAUAAGCCUUUCUCUUCUUGGCUGCCAACCUUGUGAUGUUUAUUGUUCAACAGUGGUUGUGCCCUGUGUUCUUUAGUAGGAGGAGAGGUACCAUAUCUACUCUCCAUCCAAGUCACCACCUCUCUCCAAGGGUCAGUGAGGUACCCAGAAGACUCUUUAGACAAAUGCAGGGCUGAUGAGCCUUGGUCUUCAUGUUUUAAAAAUAAGCCUUAAAACAAUGGUACCCUGUUCUGCUGUGAUAAUGUCCUUCCUCCAUCCAUAGGAAAGAUACAGACUCAGCAUAAAGGUGUCCUCCAAGACAGGGCAGUGAUGGAUCUUUAUUAGUAUACAUUUUAAUUUCUUCCCAAGUGUGGCUUGCCCUGACGCCGUCUAUGACAGGAAUGUCUCUUCUCUUGACCUACCAUCACCGUUCUUACAUAAAAUGCACCGCCGCCGCCACCACCACCACCACCACCACCACCCGGCCUUCAUCAGUGCUGUGCCUUGUGACUGGCAACUCAGACUUCCUGACCCUCUGUCGGUCAGCACUGGGCAGAAGAAUGGAUCUUCUUGACAAAACGCAUUUCCUGUCUGGAAAGCUGGCCACUUCUAGUUUCCCACAUGGUACCAUCUGGCUCUUAGAAGAAGAUGCCGGCUUUAAGGAAGCCUUGCUAUUUAGACAGAUGCAGCAUUUGUAUCUAUUGGAGAACUUUCCAUCCCCCAAUGUUUUACAAGGCAAAAGUCAUCCAAUAA